UACGGAGGGUGCGAGCGUUAUCCGGAAUUACUGGGUUUAAAGGGUGCGUAGGCGGUUGUAUAAGUCAGGGGUGAAAGGAUUCAGCUUAACUGGAUAAUUGCCUUUGAUACUGUAUGACUAGAAUUGAGCUGAGGUUGGCGGAAUGUGACAUGUAGCGGUGAAAUGCAUAGAUAUGUCAUAGAACACCGAUUGCGAAGGCAGCUGACUGGGCUUAAAUUGACGCUGAGGCACGAAAGCGUGGGGAGCGAACAGG
rnacentral:rRNA from 1 species